rnacentral:rRNA from 1 species
CCUACGGGGGGCUGCAGUGGGGAAUAUUGGACAAUGGGGGCAACCCUGAUCCAGCCAUGCCGCGUGUGUGAAGAAGGCCCUCGGGUUGUAAAGCACUUUCAGUGAGGAAGAACGCCUGGUGGUUAAUACCCAUCAGGAAAGACAUCACUCACAGUAGAAGCACCGGCUAACUCCGUGCCAGCAGCCGCGGUAAUACGGAGGGUGCGAGCGUUAAUCGGAAUUACUGGGCGUAAAGCGCGCGUAGGUGGCUUGAUAAGCCGGUUGUGAAAGCCCCGGGCUCAACCUGGGAACGGCAUCCGGAACUGUCAAGCUAGAGUGCAGGAGAGGAAGGUAGAAUUCCCGGUGUAGCGGUGAAAUGCGUAGAGAUCGGGAGGAAUACCAGUGGCGAAGGCGGCCUUCUGGACUGACACUGACACUGAGGUGCGAAAGCGUGGGUAGCAAACAGGAUUAGAUACCCCAGUAGUC